CAAGAAUGCUUUGUCUUGUCCUUUAUGAGACUUGCUUACAUUAAUUUCCAUAGAAACCACACAACUGUGUGGGGGCUGAAGGAUCAGAAUGGAUAAACACUAGUUACUCCCGUAGAGGUCUGAGAGACUAGUCAAGGACAAACUCUUGACUAGUCGGAACAAACUCCAUCCCAGUUAUCUCUAACAGAACUCUGUGCGGAUCUGUGCUCCGGAGUAAGCAAGAUAAAAAGCAGAUCAUGUUCUUAAGUACUCUUUGCUGGAAAACAUCACGGAGUGUUUGUUUGAACUAAAGUAAUCCCGCUUGUGUAAGAUAAGGAUAUAAAAACCCAAGCAGUCUAGCAAUAAAGUAGUCUUUUAGCCUUUUAGCUUUUGCAUGCUAUCUGCUGUGUCUGUGUAAUUCUUUUCUUUACCGAACCCCGACAACUGGUGCCGAGAACUUGGAUCCGACCCUCCUUAGAGGUGGGGAGACUCCGCGGGACAGCAGCGACUUCUCCAUCGAUACUGGGAAAGGUCUGCGGAAAAAGGUUAAAGUGAUGAACUUCAACCCAUAUCCCAUCUGUCCACAAAAGAAGCAAAGUAUGUCAUCAAGAGAAAGGUAAAGGCUGCAGAAUUUUUAUAACCAAAAAGUUCAAUCUUGAUUUUAAAAUUCCAAGCAUAACAACAAUUGUGACUAUCCAGAAAACACAGAAA
rnacentral:lncRNA from 1 species